rnacentral:rRNA from 11 species
UUGUCAAGGACUUUGGGAAGAGUUAUAUUUUAUAUUUAAUAGUCCACCCACCCUAUAAUCAACUUAGUCGAAGGUAGAAUCUAAUGGUUGAAAGAGCAUUACACGUUGCAUAAUGUCAAGUGCGCCCUUGACGA